AGUAAGCUCUGAAUUCAAGUAGUACAUUUGAUUUGAGAAUACACUGAUGCCCGAAACUUAGGCUGUUUUCAAUAUUCCUGCUGCAUUCUACUUCUGAAGAAAGUGCCCCUACGUUGCAGAGAUGAAACCCAGUGGUGGACUGUAAAUGGACCUAAAUGUGAAUGACGUUCUGCCAAUGCAGUAACUUUGUAUGAGAUUUCGAAAGCAGAAGAGAAGCAGAAUCCAUUGCCUUUAUCUUCCAAAAGCCGUGGUGAAUGGAUGCAUGGCCUUCAGCAGCUGUAUUAAAUCUCACCAUGACUGUGGCUAUCUGCUGAGCCCUGCGAGUUCUUCUAGUGAAUCACUGAAGCUACAGUGGUCUUGGGGACCCCUGACCAUUUGGAUUAAAAAAAAACACGCCUGGAAAAUCAUGGUUGAGAGGUAGAUAUUAUAUUCUGUUGAUAUGUAAGAUAUUUUUAUGCUUAAAACAUUUCCAAA